UACGUAGGUGGCGAGCGUUGUCCGGAUUUACUGGGUGUAAAGGGCGAGUAGGCGGGACAGCAAGUCAGUAGUGAAAUGCGGAGGCUUAACCUCCGAGCUGCUAUUGAAACUGUAGUUCUUGAGUGAUGGAGAGGCAGGCGGAAUUCCCGGUGUAGCGGUGAAAUGCGUAGAGAUCGGGAGGAACACCAGUGGCGAAGGCGGUCUGCUGGACAUUAACUGACGCUGAGGAGCGAAAGCGUGGGGAGCAAACAGG
rnacentral:rRNA from 1 species